CUGGUUCCGGUUCACGUCCCGCUUCACGCGGCGGGACGACCCGGCGACC
rnacentral:ncRNA from 1 species